ACUAUUUGAAUCCUGUUAGACUGUCAAUUUUCCCAACUACUUCUUAAUCACUCGGACUGAUGCUUGAUGUUAGAAAAGGUUUAUUGGGAUGCCAAUAAAGCUCUUCUUCUGAUGCUUUCUUUUUUCUUUCUUUAAUUCAUAUUAUUAUAGAUGAUGUAUCAUUGGCAAAUCGAAAAUGAAACUGAUUUUAUUGCAUUGAUGACUUAAAUGACAGGCUAGGCAGUCUCUUAUUGUUAGAAGGAUUUUCCCCAUCCUUGCAGAUCCAAGACAUCCGGCUGAGUCCACAAAUGCAACCGAUGAGUCAAUAUUGAAGGUUGCACUAGACCAUGGGAAAACAGCUGGUGUUAUAAAGCCACAUGACCGAGUUGUUGUUUUCCAGAAAGUUGGCGACUAUCUGUGGUGAAGAUCAUUGAGCUUGAAAAUUAGGCUAGUACAUCUUUGUAUGUUUCACUUGGCUGUUCAACAUCAGAGCAUUCUCAAGUUAACAGAAUGCAUGAAAACGAUCCAAUGGAGCUAUAAAACCAGGUUGAUCCAUGGCUGUAAUAAUUGCUCCUGAUAGAUGUAAAUCCUCUUCAUGAGCUGGAUGCCAUAUUUGUGUGCAGUGUAAAUGAAGUUGAAGUGAAGCCAAAGCCAAGAAUUCUGCCUAAUCCUACGACAUAAAUACUUGUUGUAAUUAUCAUAUAUUGAAAACAAAUGACUUU